rnacentral:rRNA from 1 species
GAUGAACGCUGGCGGCGUGCCUAAUACAUGCAAGUCGAGCGAACGGACGAGAAGCUUGCUUCUCUGAUGUUAGCGGCGGACGGGUGAGUAACACGUGGAUAACCUACCUAUAAGACUGGGAUAACUUCGGGAAACCGGAGCUAAUACCGGAUAAUAUUUUGAACCGCAUGGUUCAAAAGUGAAAGACGGUCUUGCUGCCACUUAUAGAUGGAUCCGCGCUGCAUUAGCUAGUUGGUAAGGUAACGGCUUACCAAGGCAACGAUGCAUAGCCGACCUGAGAGGGUAAUCGGCCACACUGGAACUGAGACACGGUCCAGACUCCUACGGGAGGCAGCAGUAGGGAAUCUUCCGCAAUGGGCGAAAGCCUGACGGAGCAACGCCGCGUGAGUGAUGAAGGUCUUCGGAUCGUAAAACUCUGUUAUUAGGGAAGAACAUAUGUGUAAGUAACUGUGCACAUCUUGACGGUACCUAAUCAGAAAGCCACGGCUAACUACGUG